UACGAAGGGGGCUAGCGUUGCUCGGAAUCACUGGGCGUAAAGCGCACGUAGGCGGCUCCUUAAGUCAGGGGUGAAAUCCUGGAGCUCAACUCCAGAACUGCCCUUGAUACUGAGGAGCUUGAGUCCGGGAGAGGUGAGUGGAACUGCGAGUGUAGAGGUGAAAUUCGUAGAUAUUCGCAAGAACACCAGUGGCGAAGGCGGCUCACUGGCCCGGUACUGACGCUGAGGUGCGAAAGCGUGGGGAGCAAACAGG
rnacentral:rRNA from 1 species